ACACACAAGGCUUCCACAUGAUGCCUAAUAAAUUAAAAAUGAUUUUGAAAUGGGAUUUUUCUUUAAAUUAUGGAAAGUAUUCAGCAUAUCUUUGGCUUUAGUAGUCUUAUGGGCAGCUCAUCUCCCAAUUCUAUCCAAAACACGACUAAAUCACGACUUACCGACUGAAUAACAACAACAUUUUUAACAACUUGGGAAAUUUGAGGGAACUAUAAAUACAGAUAAAUCAAGAAGAAAAAAUCUACUAGAAAUUCCAGGAAAAGAAUUAAGAAAUAAAGAAAACAGAGUCAUGACCCAAAUAUGAAGCAAAUAGACUUUCAAGGUGGUGCAGUGGCUUUAUACCAUGAAAACUCACUUUGCUCCAUCCACAGCAAAAAUAAAAAUAAAAUGUAAAGAAAAAAAAGCAAAAGGUAUAACUGGGCUCAAAUACCAGGUAAAUAUAUUCAAAAUCCCCAAAGGAUUAGAAACUCAAAACAGUGAAAAGAACUGAAGCUGGGGCAGCGAGGAGUUUGGCUUUUGUAAAGUGAAAAGGAUUAAAACGCUCAAAUGAGACAGGAGAGUGAAUCCAGAGACGUAGCUCAAAGCCCUAAGUGAUAGUGGGGCACCCCCAACACUGUGAAAAGAGAAUGAAAACGAACUACUGCUAACUGUUGCCUGAGACCAUAACUUCUAGUGAACUGCAGGCCAAAGGAGGCCAGUGUCAAGAUCAUUGCCUUGUAACCAGGAGGUAAGCCAAGACACACAAUGAACAGUAUACGAUGAGAUCUGCCCUAUCCUUAAUAUCAUCUCUGAUCCACUGUUAUGAGACUAGGUUCUGAAUUAGGGACACAGAAGCCUGAGUGAAGUUAAUUUAAAAACUGAUAGGCAAAGAAAGAUGAGUAGAGAGGUUGAGAGAGAGAAAAAGCCAUAAGAUAAAAAACAAAUUCUCACUUAAAAUGAAGCAAAAUCUCAAGACACAAAUUUAUUGCUAACAAAGAUAAGCCAAUAAAAUCUACAAUUAGAACAGGAAUUCAAUACAGAUAAAUGUUUUAUAGAAUGGUCUGAUAAGGUAUUAACCACAAAUAUAUUGAGGACAUUCAAAUAUAUAAGUUGAGACAUAAUCUCCCUUUAAAAGGCCAUAAGAUUAUAAACAGAAUAGGUAGAAAUGAAACUAGAACAUUGGAUAACUAAAAGAACCAAAUCAAAAUCUUGAAAAUAAAACAUAUAAUCAUUUGGAAAAGGUAUGGGCUGAUCAUAUAACAACAGAAUUGAACUUUAAAAACAAUACAUUAAAUGAAAGCCAGAUGCAAAAGACUGUACGUUGUACAAUUACUUUUAUUUGAAAUGUCAAAAUUGUUUUUAAAAAGCAGAUCUAUAGAGGCACAUAUUAGAUUAGUGAUGGCCAGAGACUGAGAAUGGAAAUAAGGAUUGACUACAAAUGAGUAAAAAGGAUUUUUUUGGAAUGAUAGAAAUGUUCUAAAACUGGAUUAUGGGGAGGGAUCUACAACUCUAUAAAUUUACCAAAAAUCUUCAAAUUGUACACUUAAAAUGGGUGAAUUUUAUGAUAUAUAAAUUAUACCUCAAUGAGGCUGUUAAAGAUACAAUCACUGGAAUAAAAAAAAGUGUUUAUAGUCAAGCAUACUUUCAAAACUGGACACAGUUGAAAACUUAGAAAUGAAGACAUAAGUGAGGAACUUGGUAUGUCAUGCAGAGACAAAUUAAAACUGAGAGAGCAUUAAAAAACACGGAGGAUAGAUUUUGAGGUUCCAACAAUUGCCUAAUAAAAGUUCCAGAAACAGGAUGGAAGUAAGUUAGGAAAGAAAUCUUUGAAGCAAGAAUGGCUAAGAAUUUCUAAAAACUGAAGAAAGACACUGAUUUAUUUCAAAAUACUCAUCAGUUACCUGUUUUGUGCCAGGCACUCGGAAUAUAACAGCGAACAAAAUAAAAUCUAUGCCCUCACUCAGAUUAGAUGUGUAUUUUCAGUAGCAAGCAAGAUAAAUAAAAACGCCAAACUACAUCACAAUAAAACUGGAGAACAUCAAGGAUAAAGACAUAAUCUUAAAAUCUUCCAGGAAAAAAUGAAUUAUUAUAUACAGAGUAGUGAUAUAUCAGCAGCAGAUUUAAUAUCAGCAGUAGCAGAAGGCAGAAAACAGUAAUAAUGGGGUUGAUGAAAAAUGUGCAUCUGCAAGUAAUUUUUCAUACAGACAAACUGUGAUUCAUUACUGAGAGGGGAAAAGGUAUGUUUAAUUAUAUGAAACCAAAAGAAUUUAUCAUCCAUAGAACCCUAUUAAAUUAAGAACAGUUAAAGAUGUAAUUUAGUAAGGAAAAAUACAGACAGAGAAGACAUGGGAUAUGGAAUAAAAUAUGUCAGUCAGUUUAACAAUUUUGUGUAAAAAACACAACUCUAAUUUCUGUGUAAUUUUAAAUACACUUAAAACCAUGACUCUAAGUAACAAUAAGAUGAUGGGGAUGAUAUUCAGUGUCUAGCAUCCUAAGACCUGUGUUUGGGUUAGGAGUAUAAUAGAAAUACUGAAUUAUUAUAAACCUUACAAGAAAAAAUGAAUAGCUCAUAGUGUAAAUAAAUUUUAAAUUUAAGAAUAGAAAUAUUAUCUAUAAUAAUGCUUAAUUAAUUAAUAGAAGGAAAAAAGAGAAGUGAAUCCCGGAAAUUGUAUGAGGGCAUGAAAGUAGACCAAAAAAAAAGGAAAAUGAUAGUAAAAAGAAAACACAAAUUAAGAUGGUGAAAUUAAUUUAAAAUACAUUUUCAAUCACAAAACAUAGUAACGAAUUAAACUCAUCUAAAUAAAGACCAAAAUUGUGUGUUAAAAAAUCUAACCCUGGGUGUCUGGAAAACAUAUCUAAAACAAAAUAUCCAAAAAGGAUGAAAAUAGGUGAAUGGAAAUAGAUCAUUUAACUACUAACUGUGUAGGAGCUGGGAUAGCAAUAUUAAUAUAAGAUAAAUAUGAUAUAAGGCAAAUAAGAAACAAAUGAAAAUGUAGCACAAUUUUAAUUGAUAGAUAGCUAAGAAAAUAGAUGCCUUGAUUUGACCUUGAUGUUAGGACUGGUUUGUUUUAUACAGCUGAGGGAUCCUGACACUGGAGGAGAGAAUGUAAUCUUAGUGUGACACCUGAACCAGCGCUGGACGAUGUUUACAUCGUCAUACUAAUCUAUGGGAGAAGCAACUAAAAAUCAGUGGGGGAUACUGAAAAAUCAAGAAGGAUUUUGUGAUGAGAUUGCUGCAAAGUUAAGUUUGAACUUUACUUCAUUUACUUAGAUAUAAAUAAUGUUUGAAAAAUUACAGGCUUGCUUUAAAUGAAAAGCAUAAAAAAUGUACUUUGGAUGUAGUUUAUUCAAGAAAGACAACAUGAAAUGCUAAUUAAUAAAUUCAUACCCAAAGAAAAUAUUUUAAGUUAAAAUUCAAUUGCUAAAAUAUGUUCAAAAAUAUAUAUUUUCAUGAUGUCUUAUUGCAUGUUUUUUGAUUAAACAUCCACUGAUAGUCUUGACUUCAUUGGAUAAAAGGGUUUCUACUGUGCAUAUAUGUAUGUUUGAAAAAGGAGCUAAAGAGUAACAGUGUGAGUAUGUGUGUGUUCACAUAAGUGUACACACCAUCUUAGUGAGCAGCAGUCAGAAAAUGCAUCUCUAACAAAAUGGCAUUUGACCAGAAGUCUGAAGGAAGUGAGUCAACCACACAGGUAUCUGAGUGUAGAACAUUUCAGGCAAAGAGAACAGCUAGAACAAAGGUCUGAUAUAUACCCUUGAUUAUGGAUGACUGGUUGAAAUAAAUUAUGGGUCACUGAUAUACUAAAAACUAUAUACCAGUCUAAAAAUUGAAGUGAAUGAGAUAAAAAUAUCUCCAUUGAUAAAUAAUAGAUGUGAUACAUUUAUUUUUAUAUUCAAAUGUGAUCAUUAGAACUUCAUGUUCUAUAUAACUGUACAAAAUGCAUAAAUAAAAAACUAUUAGAAAUACAAAAUAAAAAUGGAAAGAAGCAAAAAGUAUAAUAGGAAUUUUCACUCAACACUACCCGUUGAUAAUAUUAAGUAGACAGAAAAUAAAGAAGAUUAGAAAAUUUAGAUAAAAAUAAAUGUGUUUAAACUACUAAGUAUGUGAUUUGUACCCUCAUAUGUAUUUUAAACAAAUAAUUUAAACUUGUUCUGAUCCUUUUCUAGAAUCAUACCUUUAUUCCUAUUUUGCAUGUUGCAACAUUGACUAGAGCUUUCAGAUCUAUAUUAAAAUUUAGAUUAAAAGCUAUUUACGCCUUAAGUGAACUCACCACUGUCUAGCACUCUGAUUUUGUGUUGAAUCAAUCUUUCCUUUUGCCACAGAGCACAGAAGUCUCAUUUUUGAUAAAUGAAGAGGAUAAAGUGUUAACCAGCCUUGGCAAUGUCAUUGUAUCUGGCCAAAGUAGG